AAAUCUGGUCUGUUAAUGGGUCGGAUGUAUAAAACCCGGUCUGUUAAUUGGUCUGUUAAGAGUUAUGAAUGGCAAUAAAAGUAUAAUUUUAUUGCUAUAUGGGGUGUUAUCGGAUCAAAUGGGUAGGCUCAAGACGAGCGGCUAAAAUAUACGGAAACAACACAUGAGCAAUGAAACAUAAAAUAUACGGAAACAACACAUGAACCAGUGGCGGAUCCAGGGGGGGGGGGGGUUCCGGGGGUUGGAACCCCCCUUUUUUUUGCCGAUCAAUGCAUUUGAAUGGGAGCAUAUAGUUGGAACCCCCCUUUUUACUCUGGGUUGGGAACCCCCCAUUUUUAAAAUGGCUGGAUCCGCCACUG
rnacentral:lncRNA from 1 species